UUGGAAAGUAAAUCAUCCAUUUAUCCACAAAGUAGAUAGAGCACUUGCAGUGACAAAGCUUGCUUCCCCUCCACUGACCUGCCAAAUAGUUUGAACUCUUCUCCAAAACACCACAUCUGGUGAGAUAAGAAUCUUAACCAUUAGGAAGCAAAU
rnacentral:sRNA from 1 species